GAGGAAAAGAAACCAACAGGGAUUGCCUCAGUAACGGCGAGUGAAGCGGCAAAAGCUCAAAUUUGAAAUCUAGCACUUUCAGUGUUCGAGUUGUAAUUUGAAGAAGGUAACUUUGGUUUUGGCUCUUGUCUAUGUUCCUUGGAACAGGACGUCACAGAGGGUGAGAAUCCCGUGCGAUGAGAUGCCCAAUUCCAUGUAAAGUGCUUUCGAAGAGUCGAGUUGUUUGGGAAUGCAGCUCUAAGUGGGUGGUAAAUUCCAUCUAAAGCUAAAUAUUGGCGAGAGACCGAUAGCGAACAAGUACAGUGAUGGAAAGAUGAAAAGAACUUUGAAAAGAGAGUGAAAAAGUACGUGAAAUUGUUGAAAGGGAAGGGCUUGAGAUCAGACUUGGUAUUUUGCGUUCCCUUCCUUUUUGGUUGGGUUCCUCGCAGUUUACUGGGCCAGCAUCGGUUUGGAUGGUAGGAUAAUGACAUUGGAAUGUAGCUUUACUUCGGUGAAGUGUUAUAGACUUUGUUGAUACUGCCUAUCUAGACCGAGGACUGCGUCUUUGACUAGGAUGCUGGCGUAAUGAUCUUAAGCCGCCCG
rnacentral:rRNA from 1 species